rnacentral:misc_RNA from 1 species
ACUUAAUGUCAAUUUAUUUGAACAUGCAGUUCAAUAGUUGAAGUCGAAGUAUCAAUUUGUUUGAAAUCUAAUUAUUAAUAUUAAAGAAAUUGUUUCUUUAUUUUGUGGAUUUAUAGAAAAAUAAAUAAUAAAUAACGUUAAAAUGCAUGAUGCUUAUGAAGAAACAUCAAUAUUAAAUAUAUCUGUUCAAAUAGAGUCUAUGGCUGCGUAUGAUGAUAAUUUAUUGAUUGGAACAAGAGAAGGUCAUCUUCUUAUGUAUAAUGUACCGUCUGUAUCAGAUGAUAAUCACAAAUUAGAAUUAUUACGUCAUAGUAAAAAUUUUAACAAAAAGCGUAUUACACAGAUAGAUGUUAUACCAGAAUAUAAUUUGCUGAUAAUUUUAACAGAUAAUAUAAUAUGUGUUCAUGAUUUAAAUUCUUUAAAUUUUCAACAACUAUAUCAGUUACAAAAAACUCGUGGUGCUACAUUGUUCAGUUUAGACAUAAAAUCAAAUCAAAUCAUAAAUGGUGAAAAACAUACAGUUGUACACUUAUGUGUUGUUGUGAAACGUAAGCUACAAUUAUAUAAAUCAAAAGGAAAAAAAUUUGAGACAUUUAAUGAUCUUGAAUUAACUGUGCCAGAUAUACCACGUGAAUUAUCUUGGUGUGGUGAAACAUUAGUUUUGGGUUUUCGUGGAUUAUCAUAUACAAUAUUGGAUUUAAAUGGAAAAACUAAAGAAUUAUUUCCAACUGGAAAAUCUCCUGAACCAAGUGUUACAAAAUUAUCUGAUAAUUCUUUUGUGUUGGGAAAAGAUUCUCAAUCAUUUGUUAUGGAUACUAGAGGGGAAUUAAUUCAGCAUAAUCCAGUAAAAUGGUCUGAUACACCAAGUGCAAUAGCUUGGGAUGAUCCUUAUCUACUUGGAAUUGUACAUGAUAGAUUAGAAGUAUAUACUACAGAAGGUUGUUUGCAUAUACAAACAAUAAAGGAUUUAAACAAAGCUAGGCUUAUAUAUAGAUGUAAACAGGGAAAAGUUUUUGUUGCAUCAAUUAGUCAUGUUUGGUGUGUGAGAGCAAUUGAUGUAACACAUCAAAUUAGAACAUUACUUGAACAAACUCAAUUUCAAUUGGCAUUGAAAUUAACUAGUUUGUCAGAUAUAUCCGAAGAAGAAAAAGUGAAACAAAUAUAUAAAAUUCAAACAUUAUAUGCUCAUCAUCUGUUCCGUAGUAAAAGAUUUCAAGAAGCAAUGGACCAAUUUUUGAAAAUAGGAACAGAUCCAUAUGAAGUGAUUAUGUUAUUUCCUGAUUUAGUUACACCAUCUAGUAAUAAUCCUGAAGUCAGUGAUCCAACAUUACCCAAACUUCAAGACCAUGAUUUAGAAAAAGGUCUACGUGCAUUAAUAGUUUUCCUUACUGAAGUUAGACACAAGUUAAUGGGAGAUUCAAAAGCUAAGGAUAAAGAUAAUAUCAAAGAAAAAUCUCUGAUAGAAGGAAAAAAAAAUAUGACAGCAGUAGCCACAGAACAGCUAUUAAAAAUAAUAGAUACAACUUUGUUAAAAUGUUAUUUGCAGACCACUGAUGCAUUGGUAGCACCAUUACUCAGGUUAAAUCAUUGCCAUUUGGCAGAAGCUGAAAAAACUUUAUUAAUGCAUCAAAAAUAUCCUGAACUUAUUAUAUUAUAUCAAACUAAAGGACAACAUAGAAAAGCAUUAGAACUUCUUGAAAAACAUGCAAAAGAAAAUGAUUCUAGUCUAAAAGGUACUGCAAGAACAAUACAAUACUUGCAGCACCUUGGUAAAGAUUAUAUAGAUUUAAUUUUAAAAUUUGCUGGUUGGGUCUUGAAUGAAGAUCCAGAACAAGGACUUCGAAUUUUCAUAGAAGAUAUACAGGAAGUUGAACAAUUACCAAGAGCAAAAGUGUUGGAUUAUCUUCUUCGUUGUCAUAAGGAUUUAGUUAUAACAUAUUUAGAACAUGUAGUACAUGUUUGGGAAGAUACUAAUCUUUUAUUCCAUAAUGUUUUAAUACAUCAAUACAAAGAAAAAUGUUUAGCAUGUAUGAGUGAAAAUGCUACACCAGCCGAAAAACAAACAGCUCAAUAUAUUAGGCAAAAAUUGCAACAAUUUUUACAAAAAUCUGAGCAUUAUAUGCCUGAAACAGUAUUAGUUCAUUUUCCAUUCGAUAAUUUAUUCGAAGAACGUGCAAUUAUUCUUGAACGACUUGCACGUCAUCAGCAAGUUAUUUCAAUAUAUAUUAGUCUUCUUAAUGAUGUACCAAAAGCAAUUGAAUAUUGUAAUAAAGUAUACACUAGAUAUCAAAAAAAUGCAGAUAAACAAAAACAAUCUAAUGGAGCUGAUGAAGUUUAUGUAAUGCUUAUUCAACAAUUAUUGAAACCUGAUGAUAAAGAAAAUUUGAUGGCAGUUCAGAAAUUCAAAAAACAACACAGCCUGAUUUGGAAAUGGCGCUUCGAUUGCUCGAAGAACACGCAGCGAAGAUAGAUCCGUUAAAGGCAUUAGAAAUUCUACCUGAUAAUGUUUCUAUAGGUAGAAUAAGGCAUUUUUUAGAAGUCAGUUUACAAGAAAAAUUGAAUGCUAAACGAAGAAUACAAAUUUUAAAAGGUUUGCUUUAUGCUGAACACUUGCAAGUACAAGAACAACGUAUGCAUUAUGAAUCACAAAGCGUUCUUAUGACGGAAUUUAAUAUAUGUCCAGUUUGUAAAAAAAGAUUCGGCAAUCAAAGCGCAUUUGCGAGAUAUCCGAAUGGCGAUAUUGUACAUUAUUCAUGUCAAGAUCGUAAAGCAUAACUUAUAUGUAUAUUAUAAUUUAAAUAUAUUUAUAUUAAUUAUUAAGUGAUAUAAAAUGUACAUUAUGAUGUACUUCUGCCAUAUUAUAUGUAAAUAUAUACAUUUUCCAUUAUCUUUCUAUUUAUA